AACGAACGCUGGCGGCAUGCCUAACACAUGCAAGUCGAACGAUACCUUCGGGUCUAGUGGCGCACGGGUGCGUAACGCGUGGGAACCUGCCCUUAGGUUCGGAAUACCUCCCCGAAAGGGGUGCUAAUACCGGUUAAUGUCUUCGGACCAAAGAUUUAUCGGCUCUGGAUGGGCCCGCGUUGUAUUAGCUUGUUGGUAGGGUAAAAGCCUACCAAGGCGACGAUGGGUAGCUGGUCUGAGAGGAUGGUCGGCCACACAGGGACGGAGACUAGGCCCAGACUCGUACGGGAGGCAGCAGUGGGGAAUAUGGCAUAAGGGGCGGAAUGCUGAUGCAGAGAAGCAGCGUGGGGGAUGAAGGCAUUCGGGGUGUAAAGUACUUUCACCGUCGAAGAAGGUGUAAUGACGGUAGAUGGAGAAGAAGCACCGGCUAACUACGGG
rnacentral:rRNA from 1 species